UCUUAUUUGCAUGUUUAUUGGUACGGAAUCAUGAGUUUGGUGUGGUACCCAAGUACAAACAUGUGUUUUGUGUUCCUGCAGCGGCUGCAAAAAUCAUGACUAGCAUGCUAUAUACUUCCUUCCACAUCAUCAGCAAGGCAUGCACAUGCUUCCAAGUGCAUUGAUGCUAGAACAGUUUUUAAUUCGCUAUAGUUUAAGUAGGUUUUCUAUCUCUCUCACAUAAUUACAAAGGCGAUGGAAAAAAUUUGUAGAUACCAUAAUAAAACUGUGGUUGUUUGCUACGUCACACAACAACUCUGAAUAUAAUAGUCAUUAUCUGACUUUUUAAGAGCAAAUGUGUGAUAACUAUCGAUUGUGUCCUUGUCUUUGUCCUCGAACUCCUGCCGGAGAUGUUAAAGUAUAGGAUUUUGGUAAGCUGUAUCAUAAAGGAAGAAGGGUGCCCGUGUGUUGCAAGCGUGGUGCAGGGUGGACGAGGAGGGUCGAGCAGAUAAUAAAGGUUGGACUAGACGCCAGAGGCAAGGUUUGAGGACAAGGGGGUGUGUAUGUUUUCUUUAGAAAUGGUUUUACUAUUUUACUAUAUGGUAUCCACAAUAUCUUUAGGGUUUACUCUCUAACUCUGAUCCAUUUUAUUAGGCAAACAAACAUAUAACAAUUUCAUAUGAAAUUUGUGUGACUAA